rnacentral:lncRNA from 1 species
GCUAGAUUACUUUAUUUGUAUGCAUAGAAAAUUUUUUUGCUUUCUAUAGUCUAAUGAUUUAUUGCAUUCUAUAGCUUAAAAUAAUUUACUACUUUAUAUAAUUAGUAAUUUUUUAUUUUUUCAGUAGAUUAAAUUUUUUUUAUUUAGAUUAUAUAGUUAUCUUUUAUUCUUAACUGUGAGAUUACCUUAUUUGCAUAGUUAAGUAGUUAUCUUAUUUAUUAC